UCGAGGGGCAGCGGUAAGAGAGCUUGCUCUCUUAGCCGGCGACCGGCGCACGGGUGAGUAACACGUAUGCAACCUGCCCUUGUCAGGGGGACAACCCGGCGAAAGCCGGGCUAAACCCGCGUAUAUUUAUCCGGGGCAUCCCGGAUAGAGGAAAGGCUACGGCCGGACAAGGAUGGGCAUGCGGCGCAUUAGGUAGUCGGGGGUGUAACGGACCACCGAGCCGACGAUGCGUAGGGGUUCUGGGAGGAAGGCCCCCCACACUGGUACUGAGACACGGACCAGACUCCUACGGGAGGCAGCAGUGAGGAAUAUUGGUCAAUGGCCGGAAGGCUGAACCAGCCAAGCCGCGUGGAGGAUGAAGGCGCUAAGCGUCGUAAACUUCUUUUGUUGAGGGACAAAAUCCGUCACGAGUGACGGACUGAGGGUACUCAAAGAAAAAGCAUCGGCUAACUCCGUGCCAGCAGCCGCGGUAAUACGGAGGAUGCGAGCGUUAUCCGGAUUUAUUGGGUUUAAAGGGUGCGUAGGCGGACUGUUAAGUCAGCGGUAAAAGUCCGGAGCUCAACUCCGGCGAGCCGUUGAAACUGGUGGUCUUGAGUUGGAGAGAAGUAUGCGGAAUGCGCAGUGUAGCGGUGAAAUGCAUAGAUAUUGCGCAGAACUCCGAUUGCGAAGGCAGCAUACCGGUUCCAUACCGACGCUGAGGCACGAAAGCGUGGGGAUCAAACAGGCUUAGAUACCCUGGUAGUCCACGCAGUAAACGAUGAAUGCUGGCUGUUCGGGCCGAUUGAGGUUUGAGUGGCGAAGCGAAAGCGAUAAGCAUUCCACCUGGGGAGUACGCCGGCAACGGUGCAACUCAAAGGAAUUGACGGA
rnacentral:rRNA from 1 species